rnacentral:lncRNA from 1 species
CAUUGCAAUUGUUAAAAGUCCGAUUGCGAUUCAUGCUCUCAACAUGGUGUACAUUUGUGCGUGCCGAACUUUUGGUCGCAAGAAUGUGUUGAUCGAGAAUUUUGCGGGUUUUGUGUUGUUAAUACUGCGGAGGGUUACUAUUUCUGUUAAAGUAGAGUCAUUGUAACAUGAAAAUAACCAUACAUAUAGAGAUUUAAAAGGAAGGAUAUUUCAAUAUUCGACUGAAAAGAGAAUACUGUUCAUCAUAUCAACAUUGAUUUAGAAACGUAAAUAAAUUCCAUAGUAUGUGCGAAUUUAGCCACAUUUCUGAGGUCAACG